rnacentral:rRNA from 1 species
AUUGAACGCUGGCGGCAGGCCUAACACAUGCAAGUCGAACGAGUGGCGGACGGGUGAGUAAUGUCUGGGAAACUGCCCGAUGGAGGGGGAUAACUACUGGAAACGGUAGCUAAUACCGCAUACCAUCAGAUGUGCCCAGAUGGGAUUAGCUAGUUGGGGGGGUAACGGCUCACAAAGGCGACGACCCCUAGCUGGUCUGAGAGGAUGAGCAGCCACACUUGAACUGAGACAGUGUCCAGACUCCUACGGGAGGCAGCAGUGGGGAAUAUUGCACAAUGGGCGCAAGCCGACUGCAGCCAUGCCUCGUGUAUGAAGAAGGCCUUCGUGUUGUAAAGUACUUUCAGCGGGGAGGCGUUACCCGCAGAAGAAGCGCCGGCUAACUCCGUGCCAGCAGCCGCGGUAAUAC